UGCAGAGAAAUUCAAAUGUCUAAAUGAGGC
rnacentral:piRNA from 1 species